rnacentral:rRNA from 1 species
AUGGAUCACAACCUUAGCUUUAUUUUCUGGAAUGUUCGCGGGCUCAAUUCAAGGGCGAAACGUUGUGCUGUUCGUAGCGUGGUCACGUCCGCUGCUCCUUGUAUCGUCUAUCUUCAAGAAACUAGGCUUGAUUCGGUCUCGUCCUCGCUUGUCCUUGAGACUCUCGGUGCUUCCUAUGAGGACUUCUUCUUUCUCCCCGCGGUUGGCACCCGUGGUGGCAUCCUUCUCGCUUGGUGUAGGACGAAGAUCUCGCUUUGCCACCCCGAUGUUGGCACCCAUCACGUGUCUGCCCUGGUCUCAUCCCCCUCUAGCGGUCCACACUGGUGGAUUACGGGCGUCUAUGGGCCCCAGAAUGACGACGCGAAACUGGCCUUUCUCACCGAGCUGCAGCACUUCCGCAACACUUGCGCGGGGCCAUGGCUUGUCGGCGGCGAUUUUAACAUGAUCACAUCCGCUGAGGAUAAGAACAAUAGUAGGCUCAACCACCGGAUCAUGCAUCGCUUCUGA